GAUGAACGCUAGCGGCAAGCUUAAUACAUGCAAGUCGUGGGGCAGCAUGAAGUAGCAAUACUUUGAUGGCGACCGGCAAACGGGUGCGGAACACGUACACAACCUUCCGAUAAGUGGGGAAUAGCCCAGAGAAAUUUGGAUUAAUACCCCGUAACAUUGCGAUGUGGCAUCACAUUGCAAUUAUAGCUUCGGCGCUUAUUGAUGGGUGUGCGUAUGAUUAGAUAGUUGGCGGGGUAACGGCCCACCAAGUCUACGAUCAUUAGCUGAUGUGAGAGCAUGAUCAGCCACACGGGCACUGAGACACGGGCCCGACUCCUACGGGAGGCAGCAGUAAGGAAUAUUGGUCAAUGGACGAAAGUCUGAACCAGCUAUGCCGCGUGAAGGAUUAAGGUCCUCUGGAUUGUAAACUUCUUUUAUAUGGGACGAAAAAAGGUCUUUCUAGAUCACUUGACGGUACCAUAUGAAUAAGCACCGGCUAACUCCGUGCCAGCAGCCGCAGUAAAAC
rnacentral:rRNA from 1 species